UAAUAAUAACAUUAUUACACUAUAGUGGUGUGGGAGAGGCUCUGAUAGCACCCAUCUGCAUCCCGCAUGAAAAAACAAACCUAAGAUCACUUUUUUAAAAAUUCUACAAGCCACGUUAAAAAAAAAUUUGAACAGGACUGCUUUAUUGUGUAAUUUAUGACACAACUGUUACAUGAAUUGCAAAUGAAGGCUUAAAAUAUAUAGCAGCUACAAAAAAAAUCAGAUAACUCAUGCUUCAUGUCACUCCUCCC
rnacentral:lncRNA from 1 species